AAUCAAAAUAUGACCUGAAGUUUGUUGUUGAUCAUCAUCAGGAAUAAAUAUCCAAUUGGUUUUUGGUGGUCAUUCAUAAUGACCUCAACCUUUAGUCCUGCCUUAAUUGUGUGUGGUUAGUUUAUUUAGCAAAGUAUAUAAGAUGAAAUGAUUUAGUUGUAAAUUAUCACAUUUCAUUUGAAUCUUUUCAUCAAGCAACAAGUGGUUUCAUUAACGAAGAAUCUUCUUAAUCAUCAUGUUUUCAAAGAUUUUAAUCAUCUCCCUUAUUCUUGCUGCCACUCUUUUGGUGACUGAAGCCACAUUGAAGAUCACUCUCCAUAAGAAACACAUCAGUUUACCAAUUCCAACCAAAGUUUCAUUGGGUUUAAUUGGUCAUGAUGAUUGGUGGAGUCAACCAUCAUGGUCAUCAUGGCCUUCAUGGCCUUCAUGGGGAUGGGGAUGGGAAGACAAUAGCUGGUGGUAAAUCAUCAACAUCAACAUCAACA